rnacentral:tRNA from 1 species
UCCCCUGUGGUGUAAUUGGCAGCACUGCGUCUUUUGGUGUCGUAUGUCCAGGUUCGAGUCCUGGCGGGGGAG